rnacentral:rRNA from 1 species
UACGGAGGAUCCGAGCGUUAUCCGGAUUUAUUGGGUUUAAAGGGUGCGCAGGCGGGAGAUUAAGUCGGCGGUGAAAUUUAUCUGCUUAACGGGUACACUGCAGUUGAAACUGGUUUUCUUGAGUGCGUAAGAGGCAGGCGGAAUUCGUUGUGUAGCGGUGAAAUGCUUAGAUAUGACGAGGAACUCCUAUUGCGAAGGCAGCUUGCUGGGUCGUUACUGACGCUGAUGCUCGAAGGUGCGGGGAUCAAACAGGAUUAGAUACCCUGGUA